GGCGUAUCGAGGUCGAUCCUUAUGAAGAACGUCUUGCUGAGUGAACACCUCGGCAUCAGCCAGGGCUUUAUAUGAAAUGCUUUAGUGGCGUGCAGCUCAUCGGUAAACAGCGAUAAAGAGGUGCUAUUUGAUCGCAAAUCAACUCCAGAAGGGAGGAGUAUCCCUGCAUCCCAGUGUCAAAGGACGAGGGUCGUGCUUGGCCACAGUUUGUUCUGCACAUGCCGACAUCCACGUUCACUGGACUACCCGAGAUAUCUGGUGAACACAAAGCUGCUGUUCGUUCUGUUAAGGACUGAUAGGGGGCGCCAUGGUUCACACCCACUCUUUUCCUCACCUUGUCCUAUGUAGAUGAAGUGACUCUGGCGUCUACAGCACGCUCUCUCUGCAAACAGAUUUCUUGGCUCUAUGUGCAUGUUCAGUACAGCUGUCACUGUAAAAGGCAGGCGAAAACACAGAAUAGGAAUAAAUUGUAAAUUUCUGUAAAUGCUUUCCAGAUCAAAAUACGCAGAUUUAAUUAAAAAAAAGACAUAUUUCCCACUUUUACCGACCAUAAUGAGUCAUUCAUUCAACAUUUUGUAUUAGUGUCUAAGCUAGUUGCAUGUUAUAAUGUAAUAAUAAUUAUAAUACAAAAACAAUUUUUUUUUAGCAUAGCCAAGUUCAAAACAGGUAUUGAUGAAGUAUCCAUAAUGUUAGUGCCGUGUAAACAAGGCAAAAUAGUACAGAUAGGGUAGUACUUACAGCUCUGACGACACAAAGAGAGAAGAAGCAGGACCAUGUAAAGCGAAACCAUAUCCAUAGCAAUACUCCUCAGUGUCACACACUCUCUCAAACUAAACCUGUACUCAGUCUUGCCUGACUGGUCCUCCUGUUCUAGCUGGUUGCGAUCUUUAUAUGUGGCCACAAAUGUCACUGGCUAAAUGAAAGGGGUGAGGAAUAAUCAAAUUUCCAUCACUCUAAUGCCUGCUCCUAGGCGGGGGCCACAUCAAAGGGAAGUACCUGUAGAGGCCCCCUUGUUUUUGCUGCGAGAUCUCAGCGGGUCACUGCAUCGACCAGGCCCGCUCUUUCUCUAAUGAACUGCUUAAGGGGCUUUGAGGCUCUAAGCACCUCUCAUUGAAAGGCAUUAUUCACCUUUUAUCUCGGGAGGAAGGUGUUUAGCACCUCCACUUAAACCAAAAACGAGGCUCACAACAAGUAAACUGGCUGUGCGUGGCAGUCAAGCACCCCCUGCCGAGGACAGCGGCACCUUCACGUUUAUUCAGGAUGAGCCAAAUGGCAUAUAAGAGAAAGGGAAAGAGGUCAAAACAACAUACAUGCCCACUUUCUUUCUAUAAUUUUUCUGUUUUAAAUAAAUUUGCACAGUGGAUGUGUUGGGAUUUGAUAUCUAUUCAUUUUUAGGAUGAACAACCCAAAAAGUUCAUAGAAAACGAGAGUAAGAACUACAAAAGACCCUCAAUAAGCAUUCUGGAAUUGAAAUCUCAAGAAAAAAGAGUGAAUGUACAAUUUGAUGCUUGUUUUACCACCAAAUGUAGUAUAUUCUUUUUAAAGCUCCACCCAAAAGCGUUGUUGUAGUUUUUUUUGUCUUUUUGCUGAAAUAAAGAGUAAAUAAAAAGCAGUGGUACAUAAUG